rnacentral:lncRNA from 1 species
UGGGUUCCAGGGAUCGAACUCACAGUGUCAGGCACAACAAUAGACGGUGGGAAGGAAGAAAAUCAUGAAACCCUCAACAAAUGUUUCUUAACUGAAAAUCUCAGCCAUGUAAAUGUCAUGAUGCCUAAAAUUCCUGCUGCAGAAGGUCACAGCCAUGUCACAGCAUGAGGAUCCUGAAGGCAGAACCAGUGUGCUCCAACUUCUCCUCAAGUAACGAAAGCAGAUGAGAACCCAUCCAUCCCCUGGGAAUCUGGAGUUGGAGCUUGAAGCUGUUCCCAGGAAAAAGACUUUGAACCUUGCCCUUUGACCUGAAGUUCACAAAGAGCUUGGGCCUCAUGGU